rnacentral:rRNA from 1 species
AGAUUGAACGCUGGCGGCAUGCUUUACACAUGCAAGUCGAACGGCANCACGGGGGGCAACCCCUGGUGGCGAGUGGCGAAACGGGUGAGUAAGGCAUCGGAAUCUGCCCUGAUGUGGGGGAUAACGUAGGGAAACUUACGCUAAUACCGCAUACGACCGAGAGGUGAAAGCGGGGGACCGAAAGGCCUCGCGCAGCAGGAUGAGCCGAUGUCCCGAUUAGCUGGUUGGUGGGGGUAACGGCCCACCAAGGCGACGAUCGGUAGCUGGUCUGAGAGGAUGAUCAGCCACACU